rnacentral:misc_RNA from 1 species
UACGUAGGUGGCAAGCAUUAAUCGGAUUUAUUGGGCGUAAAGGGCGUGUAGGCGGUUUUGUAAGUCGGAUGUGAAAUCCUGGAGCUCAACUCCAGAAUGGCAUUCGAAACUGUGAGACUAGAGGGUAGAAGGGGAAAACAGAAUUCCACAAGUAGCGGUGAAAUGCGUAGAUAUGUGGAGGAAUACCGGUGGCGAAGGCGGUUUUCUAUUUUAUACCUGACGCUGAGGCGCGAAAGCAAGGGGAGCAAACAGG